rnacentral:rRNA from 1 species
CCCUUAGAUGUUCUGGGCCGCACGCGCGCUACACUGACAGAGCCAACGAGUUCUUCACCUUGGCCGGAAGGUCUGGGUAAUCUUGUUAAACUCUGUCGUGCUGGGGAUAGAGCAUUGCAAUUAUUGCUCUUCAACGAGGAAUGCCUAGUAAGCGCAUGUCAUCAGCAUGCGUUGAUUACGUCCCUGCCCUUUGUACACACCGCCCGUCGCUACUACCGAUUGAAUGGCUCGGCCCGUGCCCCCGCCCCGC